CACGUAGGGGGCAAGCGUUGUUCGGAAUUACUGGGCGUAAAGGGCGCGUAGGCGGCCUUCUAAGUCGAACGUGAAAUCCCCGGGCUCAACCCGGGAACUGCGUCCGAUACUGGAAGGCUUGAAUCCGGGAGAGGGAUGCGGAAUUCCAGGUGUAGCGGUGAAAUGCGUAGAUAUCUGGAGGAACACCGGUGGCGAAGGCGGCAUCCUGGACCGGUAUUGACGCUGAUGCGCGAAAGCCAGGGGAGCAAACGGG
rnacentral:rRNA from 1 species